rnacentral:rRNA from 1 species
AGAGUUUGAUCCUGGCUCAGAAUCAACGCUGGCGGCGUGCCUCAGACAUGCAAGUCGAACGAUUAAACUUUCCUUCGGGGAAGAUAUAAAGUGGCGCACGGGUGAGUAACACGUAGGUAAUCUACCUUUGAGUGGGGAAUAACAGUCGGAAACGACUGCUAAUACCGCAUAAUGCAGCGGCACCGCAAGGUGACAGUUGUUAAAGGAGCAAUCCGCUUAAAGAGGAGCCUGCGGCAGAUUAGCUAGUUGGUAAGGUAAUGGCUUACCAAGGCUACGAUCUGUAACCGACCUGAGAGGGUGGUCGGUCACACUGACACUGAAUAACGGGUCAGACUCCUACGGGAGGCAGCAGUCGGGAAUUUUGGGCAAUGGGCGAAAGCCUGACCCAGCAACGCCGCGUGAAGGAUGAAGUAUUUCGGUAUGUAAACUUCGAAAGAAUAGGAAGAAUAAAUGACGGUACUAUUUAUAAGGUCCGGCUAACUACGUGCCAGCAGCCGCGGUAAUACGUAGGGACCAAGCGUUGUUCGGAUUUACUGGGCGUAAAGGGCGCGUAGGCGGCAGUUCAAGUCACUUGUGAAAUCUCCGAGCUUAACUCGGAACGGUCAAGUGAUACUGUUUUGCUAGAGUGCAGAAGGGGCAAUCGGAAUUCUUGGUGUAACGGUGAAAUGCGUAGAUAUCAAGAGGAACACCUGAGGUGAAGACGGGUUGCUGGGCUGACACUGACGCUGAGGCGCGAAAGCUAGGGUAGCAAACGGGAUUAGAUACCCUGGUAGUCC